rnacentral:tRNA from 1 species
GCGGGGGUUUCCAAGCCUGGUCAAAGGAGCAGGACUUAAGAUCCUGUCGCUUAGUGCGUCCGAGAGUUCAAAUCUCUCCCCCCGCACCA